GUAAAAUGCUAAAUUCAGUACCUAGCACCAGGGAACACCUUAUCCUUAUUAGCUAAGUGUGCUGAAGAAAGAAUAAUAACGUGUGGUGCAAAUUGGGUCUUAAUAAAUGAAUAGUCUUCUAGUUCUUGUCUUGGCCUCCACUGGCCUGGCUGGGGUUGCCCUUGGGUCCUGCAUCUCAGACAGAGCUUCCACUGAAGUUGCCAGACUGGGGCGCCAGUCUGAGCCCUCCCUCCUCUGCCACCCCCCAUGGACUUCAGCUGGAGAAGCUUGGCUCUGCCCACCUGCUACAAAACACCUGCAGAGUGUGUUCGGCCAGAGUGAUGCUGUACCCUCAGCUUUGUCACUCAGAGCCUUGGGCUAACUUGCAGAAUCCUGCCUCCCACCCUGCUUCCAUCAGUGAUGUUGCUGCUGAGGACCUGAGAGGUUCAGCUCAGCCCCCUGACUUGUCCAGAAAGAUGCCGUCCUGACCUACAAGGUUUCAUUUUUAAAGUGUAUUUUUUUCUUUAAUGUGUUCAUCCAGAUAAAAUGCAGGACUCACGAUUACACCCUGGGUGUUUAUUGCCAUAGCGUUUCCUUUGGGCUCUUCAUUGUUUACUGACCGGGAAGAUUAUGCACGCAGGAGAUUAAGGAAGGAAAUUCAUUAAUUGCAUAGCCAACCACGGGCUUCAUCGCAUAUGCCAGCAGCUCACCUCCAAUGUGUCUCAGCAGCUAAUGCAGUUGAAAUCUCAAACUAGGGGGUUAUCCUUUCCAGAUUUUUUUUUUUUUGGCUUUUUCAGGGCUGUACCUGCAGCAUAUGGAAAUUCCCAGGCUAGGGGUUGAAUCUGAGCUUCAGCUGCCAGCCUAUACCACAGCCACAGCAACGCCAGAUGCUUAACCCACUGAGCGAGGCCAGGGAUUGAACCUGCCAUCCUCAUGGGUAUUAGUCGGGUUCGUUAUUGCUGAGCCACGACCCCCCUUUGGGACUUUAAUGGAGGCAAAUCUAAAGACGUUUGGACUCCGAGGGUGGGAGGGAGGUGGUUUGCUACCAGGAACAACCUCAAGAACAAUUCAAACUGACCUGCUGAUUCCCAGAUGUGAGAGACUGCAGGACAGCACAGAGGCUGGACUUGGAGCUGGCACCUGUUGCCGGCUGAGUCUCUUGAUGAACGGAAGCUGAUUAUGGCAGCUUGUGAUUUAUUCUUGGACUGAAGGGGCUGGAGUAGAAGAACAACCCCUUGGAGAGCAGGGAUUAAACAGAUGCUUUUGCCCAGCCUCUCCUACUGUACGGUCCUUGCUAGCAAAUCAUAUGAUCAGGUUCCAGGCCACUGACGUGGGUGGAAGAGUUGGGAUGACCACUGAUGCUCCAUGGGUUUUCAUGGCUGACCAUUGAUGCUCUGAACAAGGGAAUCGCCAACCUUGAAACUUUCAGGAAAUUGUAUGGAUUUGGUGGGGGGUGGGGUGGGGGGCAGCGAGACUAGUUGUACUGGUGGCUUAGAAAGUCCGACAGAUUAAAAACAUGGUUCCUGGUAGUAUUUUUGAAGUUCUCUGUGGUAAUUUACAUCAAUCCUUAAAUAAAGCCUAACUGUUUUUUUCUUUUUAGGGCCA
rnacentral:lncRNA from 1 species